GCGCCCGUAGCUCAGCUGGAUAGAGUAUCGGUUUCCGAAGCCGAGGGUCACAGGUUCAAGUCCUGUCGGGCGCG
rnacentral:tRNA from 2 species